UUCCUAGAUUCUGACAAGCCACAGAAAUACCUGAUUUCAAAGAGAUGCUUGCAUUCUAUACUGAUACCAUCUAGGAGUGUAAAUGCCUAAUGUCACACUGCUGAGAAAGGACAGCUGUUGGGAGCAGAGGCUGUCAAAAGGGAGCAUAAUGCUGUACUUGUUGGAGGCAGGUCCUGUCUCCUUGUGAUCUGAAAGAGUCAAAGAAUUCCACUUUACUGAAAACAAGCUUCAGACUGCAGAUGAGCUGUGAGGGAUUGGAAAGCCCUAUUAGGAUCAGCUGGUUGGCUUUGAAGACUCAGUCAUCCUUCUUGAACAGCAAUUUGUGUGAAAGCAGAAUCAUCGCAAGAAAGAUGAGAACCACAAAGAGUAUGGGAUACUUCAAAUUACUCAGUAACAGCAUUUAGGAGAGAGAUGCUGGAGUCAUGCUUCAUCAUUGCCAGCCCUAUGUCUCUUGAAGGUUAAACCUCUCGAUGACGAAAUGAAAAAUUUAAACACAAACCAAGCAAAAACAAAAGCACCACGUGCCUGCUGUUGGGAUCACGCCUUUCUCUCCAAAAGGACCCCUCUUCUCUGCUCGCUCGAUCGUUCUUCCACGUAAUCUCUGCCCCUUGGCACCCGGGUUGUCUCGUCCAGAUCUUUGUCUCAGAAUGUGCUUUGGGGACAACUGAAAUUAGGACAAAGGGAGAAUUGGAAAUACGCGGGCCUCUCACUGUUGUGGCCUCUCAACCACUGCGCCACCAGGGAAGCCCUCAUACCCAUUCUUGAGCUAAGUACCAGACUUAUACUUACAAAUGUUACUUAACAAUCUGAAUUUAAUUAUUUCUUUAUAAUUAUGAUAAAGAAAUAUCUCAUUUUUUCAUUUUCUCUAGAAAUUCCUACCUCCUGUUAGAUGUUGUGUUUAUACUGUGAAUAUAAUAUCUGCAUAAGCAAUUUUGAACAUUUGCAAACAAAUAUAUCCUUCCUAUUGAAUCACAAUGUAUUUGUAUUAUUUGGUAUUAAUAAGCUGUGAGAGAGACAAAAAGGAACUAUCUUUGAGCUGAUAAACUAUCUUAACUCUGUGUCUGUUUUACUAAUUAAAGAAAAGCAGUCUGUGCUACAUAUCAUGGGGAAAAGCAACUUUGAAUAGAAAAAAAGUAAGCUAUACAAAUAAAAAUGGUGGCCAUAAGCAAUUAGAAAAGUGAUUUUUAUCUUAAACCUAUGAAUGGCAACCAAAUUUCAGGUCAGAAAUAUGAACUCAUUAAAUGAAUUUUAGAUUGUUGAAGACAUGUUUAAAUAAUGACAGCCUGAAGGAGCCUGAAGCAGGUCAUUAAAUCCAUUGGGAUUGGUGGUUUGAUUUCAUUUCCAUCCAGACGGAGGUAGCGAAGAUGAGGUCCGUAACUGAAGGAAUCGUGUUCCGCAGGCAAUGUGAUAGGAGUGGUAGGACAUAUUACAGAGACAUUCACAUCUACGGAGACAAAGAAAGCGUGAAUAAAUGAACUGGAAUACAAGAGACUAAGGAUGGGAAGACCAAGAGCUAUUAUAACAGUCCUAUGGAGGGUCUAGUGGCCUGGUCUAUGAAAGUGGCAGAGAGACAAACCCUUUUCGUGUAAGCUGGAAGUUAUGCAUAUCUGUUUUAUAGAAGUAACCCUGAAAAAAUGUGCAACGUACACAUAGUCAUCUCAGUCCAUACUUUGCUAUGCUUAAUACAGAGCACUAGAAAGGACAUAUUGUUAAAAGUUGUGAUGGAAAAAAGGUGUAUAAGAUAUAUCACUUGUCUUAUUCCUUUAGCAAGCCAGAUAAGGCAUGAUUUGAUUACUGUAGAAUGAGAAAGGUAGUAUUGGGGCAUUAGAGGUGGAAACAAUGGUUCAGAGUUGGUACUGAAAGAAUGGGUAGGUGCAUGGUGGAAUGGAGGAGUAUGGAUGCAAAGGAAGAAAGCCAGUCUAUUAUUAGAGAAGGUGCUUGAAAGUUACCUUAAAAAAAUGCAAACACUCAAACUAGUAGUACAUGAUGAUAAGUUUUUUAUAAAGUGCAAUUAAUAUAACUUUACAUAUGUGAUAUUUGCAGAAAACAACCUUGAAUCUCCAUACUUAAGUGUAUUUAAUUGGAAAGGAAACAUUUGCCAAGAACUGAAUUACAAAAAUUCAAACCAGGAACUAUCCCGUCAGCCUUUUCACAUGGUUAAGAUGUGAGAAAUCAUGCACCUGCCUUGGAUCAGAGCCCUUGGCAUCAAUGUCUAUACUGAAGUUAGGAGCAUUCAGGAGAGAAAGCCUCUUAAACCAGCGAAAUUCUGACAAGUGUGCAUAAUAGCUGAUCUCAACCAUGAAUUCAUGUACUCUUAAAUCCUAUUUUGAAACUGUUUUGAGGAAGAGAUCUUCCCUUAGAAGAUAAGCCCCAACUAACUUUGGCAAUGACCUUCCUUUUGUGCACACUGACUUGUUCUGAAGGAUUUUAUGCUUACAGUGAGGGUGCUUUGUUCUGAUCUUAUGCCAUUUUGUGACUUCAACUUGCUAAAAAUAAUGACUCUGUAUAGCAGAUUUAUAUUCAUCAAGGUACUUUUUCUUACAUAUAUGAUAACCUUAUCAUGGCACAACCUGUACUGGGCAACAUCAUUAUUCUCCCCACCUGGGCAUUGCUGAGAGAGUGGUUCCGACGGGUAAGGCAAUGUGCACCAGGUAUUUCAGCAAGUCAGAGGCAGGGCGGAGUCCCAGCCUCAUCCCUUUCCUACUACACAGGGCCCCUUGCCUGCUGGAGAGAUUAGGUCCUUUCUGAUGUGUUAUCUCCUAUCCUUAUCACCCUCAUGACCCAUAACCCAUGCAUGGGUGAAUAAAUAGAAUGUAAAAACAAGCAUUCUAAAUUUAAUUAUAUUUUCGUAAAUUAAUUAUAAUGUUUCUGAGAGUACCAAGAAGUAACUUGUUCGAAUAGAUAACAUUUUUGUCAAAUUUAAAGCCCCCUAAGGUGUUCAGAAGAAAUAAGUAUUUCCAUCAUUUUGGACAAGAAAAGUUCACUGUCCUAUAACUUCUGAGAACUCUUCAUAUAAGAGCCUCCUACGAGAAAAAAGAAAACCUCCUCUGACCAGUCACCAUGAACACCUUUGAUCUAUUGUUUCCACUUUGACAGAGCUUCAGAACACCGCUUACCUCAGUUUUCUUGGAUCUUCCUCGUCCCUUUCUAUUGGUCACUGCUCAUUCAAAGUAAUGGAUUGACCCAGGCUCCACUGUCGUGUUUUGGUGAAUCCUCCCUAAUAUAUAUGCAUCCAUGGCUCCAGCUUUAACCCCUCCAACAACCACAGCACCUCAGUACCUAGAUAGCCCAGCACAGGAAAUUCUGACUUUAAUCUCAAGAACCUAUAACAAAAUUCAGUGCAACUUUCAUUCUGAGUUCACAGUCCCAAAGAUAUUGUAAUGCACUGAUCUGGAGACCUGAUCUAACAGCAAGAAACUAAAAGCAGUUUUGAUUUCAACUACAACAAAAAGAUUUUAAAGCAUUUUUCUCUAGAUGAUCUUUUUAAAAAAUUGGAUACAAAGACAUAAAGACCAAUGUUUUCUGUUUAUAUGCAAAUAUUUUAUUCAUUUUUUUGUAUAAAACAGAUGCUGGGAUUACAUUUAGAUAUAUUGUUUUUGGUCAAGGGGUAAAAGAUAAAAAAUGUAUUUGAAAAAUUUAAAAGUGAAAUCAGGAAAGCUCUACCUGAUGUUGGCACUAAAUAUGGUGUAUAGAAAUAAUUGUUUUAUAGAAAUAAUUUUUGUGUCUCUAUUUCAUAGUGGAAGCUUUAUUCCAAAUAAUUAUUAAAAUGAGAUUUUUCUUUCCUGCAUUAUAAAAGAUGUUCUGCAUUUAGGCCAUUAUAGGACAUUCUGCUGCACUGUUUUGUGUUUUGUUUUUCUUUAACAUACAAGUUUAGGAUAAUAUGUCUUCCAGUUCUUGUAAUUUGAGGGAAAAAAAUGGUAUGCCUCUUAAGGAAAGACAAAAAGUUUUGAAAAUCUCAUUUUCAGAUAUUACCCUGCUGAUUGAUUGUAAUCAUUUUGUUUUUCAAAAUCUAUCGUAUUCUGGGAAAAGGGAGUUGUAUUGAUAUCACUCAUUCAACACUGCCCACAUAAAUAUUAUCAAAGAUAGAACACAGUGAAGAGGGGAGAGCACUGGACUCAAAAAAUUUUUUCUGAACCACUUACUUCUUUUCUCCUAAACACAGUUUUGUCAUCUACAACAUACUGCUGGGGGCUUCCCUGGUGGCGCAGUGGUUGAGAGUCCGCCUGCCGAUACAGGGGACACGGGUUCGUGCCCCGGUCCGGGAAGAUCCCACAUGCCGCGGAGCGGCUAGGCCCGUGAGCCGUGGCCGCUGAGCCUGCGCGUCCGGAGCCUGUGCUUCGCAACGGGAGAGGCCACAACAGUGAGAGGCCCGCGUACCGCAAAAAAACAAAAACAAAAACAAAAAAAACAUACUGCUGGACUACCUCGCAAGUUGGUAAAUUGGGCUUUCCUGGUGGCGCAGUGGUUGAGAGUCCGCCUGCCGAUGCAGGGGACACGGGUUCGUGCCCCGGUCCGAGAGGAUCCCACAUGCCGUGGAGUGGCUGGGCCUGUGAGCUAUGGCUGCUGAGCCUGCGCAUCCGGAGACUGUGCUCCGCAACGGGAAAAAAUCUGGUCCAGCAGUGCAGUGUCAGGGGGAAGAUCUUUUGGCACUUUUUCCAGACCUAGCAUGAGAGUAAAAGCAAUGUGCACUCAGUGAAAAAGGACACAUGACUACAGAAUCACAAAGGAUGGUUUACAGAGAAAUCAAUGUUUCAAUGAUAGUUUUACUGCUACCAUAUUUUUCUUCUAGGAAUUAUAUCAACUGUAGUUUAAAAUAUCUGUUCUAUCUUUUCCAACGAAGUCAAAUGAUUUUUUAAAAAAUCAUAAACAGGUAUAUUAUUUACCCCAUGUAAUUACUCUUCUGCAUAAUAGGAAAAUUAAUAUUUUGUAAGGUGUGGUUCAAAUGUCUCAGUACACAGUGUGUUUUACCUCAUUGUUCUUGUUUUAGAAAAUCAUUCCUUUGAUAAGUGUUAAGUGGGAGUGAUUUGUAAACCUGUAUCUUUCUACAUAGAUAUCCUUUCAGUAGAGCAGAGCUUUAGCCAAAUCAUCAAAGAUCCUUUUGAUAAACCUAACGCUGUCACAGAUCUACAUAUAAAAUUAAAAUUAUGUGAAUAUGCAAUCACGCUGUUGUGUCAAAAACUUGAAAAUUUAUCCAAACUUUUAGGAGAAUGGCUCUUUCAGUUUUAAUUGGAAUGUUAAAACUAUCAAUUUUAUGACCAAUAGAUAUGUAGCUAAUCAGAAUAAAAUGAACAAAAUUUGUUAAUAUAACUUCUCUAAAAUUUAUUAUAUGAGGGCUUCCCUGGUGGCGCAGUGGUUGAGAGUUCGCCUGCCAAUGCAGGGGACACAGGUUUGUGCCCCGGUCAGGGAAGAUCCCACAUGCUGCAGAGCGGCUAGGCCCGUGAGCCAUGGCCCCUGAGCCUGUGCGUCAGGAGCCUUGCUCCGCAACGGGAGAGGCCACGACA